rnacentral:lncRNA from 1 species
CAGCCAGUGUACAGAUGGCCUUAACCUAAGAAGGGCCUUAGCCUAAGUAACUCCAUUUAAAAAAAAAAAAAACUACAGUCCCCACCAGGCAAGCCUACGGAGCCCUCCAAUAUUGUCAUCAGGCAGAGCCUGAUAAAAUAAGUCACUUUCUACAACCUUGAUAAAACUCAGAGUGAAGUCAUUGUCAUUUGCCUUUGCCCUGAUAAAGUCAGAGGUGAGAGAUCAGGGUGGAAACCACCAGACCAGUGUCCUGACCCCAGAAUGAAAGAUGUCACUGAGAAUCCCCAUAACGGGCUGAUAGGGAUUGAAAGGGAGAGUAGAAGCCACAAAAUUUAGCAUAAAUGGUGGAGCAAAUGAACAGACAUUCAGCCAGCCAACACUGAUGCCCACAUGCCAGAGCCUGAUGAGGACCCGGACUGACAUCCCAACUCUUCUCGUCAUUGCCUGAUGCUCUGCAUCAUCCUCACUGCUCU